CAACGCAUGGCAGUUGCUUCACUAAUCAUUUGUCUGAUAUCGCUUCUUACCGAGACGACGAUUGAAAAAUAAUCCUCUUAAUAAUAAUCCCUUUCAUUUUUUUUCUUUUUGCUAAUACAUAUUUAUCAAUCCAUAAUCUCGCACUGAGGCAAUAUCUCAUUUUUCGUCCAGGCUAGCUCAGCCAGAGAAUCGAGACAUGUUCGGAAUGGUAAUCUCAUACACGGUGAAGGCGAAGCUGUACCUCGGUGCCAUGGGCGGGGAGGUCACCGCCGAGCUGCCCUUCGUCCUCAUGCAUCCCAAGCCCGACCUGCGCCGCAUGAUGCGCGCCGACAGCCAGGCGCAGGUGGAGUCCUUCCGCUCCGACAGCAUGGGCGCCUCCGUCGACAUGGACUAGACGCCCUUUCGACGCCACGACCAGCCCGGUGACGACCCCGAACUCAAUUCAAAGGACGACUGUCGAGGUGGAGGAGAAAGGCUGACCAGAAUUUCCCGCGAUUUCUAACGGCUUUUAGGACUGAUGUCGAAUUUAAGCUAGUCCUUAUUCUUUUCCUUCUUUUUCUUUAAUUUAUCUGUUUCCAUCUGCUUACCUUCAUAUCCCUUAAUUUCUGCUCACAGUGAAUACCGGAGAAAGUGAUCUUAAAGGAGUGCGUAAGCGAAUCCAGACCCUGAACGGCCACCAUGAAACCAAUGUCGCAUUUAAUUUUCAUUUUGUCAUUUUUUUAUAUUUGUUUGUGUCUACUUUCUGUUUACUUUCUUUCGGUUAAUCUCCGUUUACAAAGAAAAGAUAUAUGAAGAUGAAAACCAAAGAAAGUUUAUUGUGAUUAAUUGCCUGUGAGAAAAGCAAAGCCAUUUGGACUGUUGUGAUGUUUUUUUAAACGUAAGAUUUGUGGAAGCGGAUUCCAAAAUCUACCGGACAAAGGGACCGUUGGUAUAAAUUGAAAACAGUGAUAGAAAAUAAUGUGUAUUGCGGUUGAAAUGUUUGGAAUAAUGCAUCUUACUAAUUAGUGAGAAUAGGCAAACCGUAAAAGAAAAUGUGUUUAACGUCUCCGCAUCUGCCUAACCUAUCCGUGAUCAUAAUUUUGCAUUUUUAAUUUCAAUCAAUCUAUUCUGUCUUCGAAAAAUAUUAAGCAAACAUGUCAAAUUCACAUCUUAAACCAAUACUGUUCAAAUUAAGGUAGUUCCUUGAAUAAAGAGACAGCAAGA